rnacentral:sRNA from 1 species
AUAAAAAAUCUUAUUGUAAUCAAAAUCUACUUCUAUUUCCAUAUAGUCUAAGAUAUCAUCCAAAAGUUUGUACCGAAUCGAACCGCUUCAUAUAACUUAUUAUGUAAACAAUAUUUUUCCUCAAGAAUAGCUCUUUUUCUUCAUUUUUUUGAAUACUAGAAGGUUCUGAACCGAAGUCUGUAAUCUCUCGAGAGCCGAAACUACAGAAUGUAAUAUUAGUUUUGUCCUCCUCAGAAAUGGUUAUUUUGAGCUCUAACUAAAAGGUGUCGAUAACAAAAAUAUAAGAUGUCAUCCAAAAUUGGCUCCAAAAAUCUGUAAUAUUCGAAAAAAAUUCGAUAGUCUUUGUAAUUUUAGUAAAAUAAUAUAUCAGUUUUUAAACAAUAUUAUACAAAAUUGAAAUUUAUCAAGAUUGGUAAGUAACGUUUUUAAAUUUCAUUUAUUUUAAAUAGAUCCAUGUUUAAAU